rnacentral:misc_RNA from 1 species
GAUGAAGAACGCAGCGAAAUGCGAUAAGUAAUGUGAAUUGCAGAAUUCAGUGAAUCAUCGAAUCUUUGAACGCACAUUGCGCCCGCCAGUAUUCUGGCGGGCAUGCCUGUUCGAGCGUCAUUUCAACCAUCAAGCCCUGCUUGUGUUGGGGUCCUGCGGCUGCCCGCAGGCCCUGAAAACCAGUGGCGGGCUCGCUAGUCACACCGAGCGUAGUAACUCUACAUCGCUAUGGUCGUGCGGCGGGUUCUUGCCGUAAAACCCCCAAUUUUUUAAGGUUGACCUCGGAUCAGGUAGGAAUACCCGCUGAACUUAAGCAUAUCAAUAAGCGGAGGA